UACAGAGGUUGCGAGCGUUAAUCGGAAUUACUGGGCGUAAAGCGUGCGUAGACGGUUAUUUAAGUCGGGUGUGAAAGCCCCGGGCUCAACCUGGGAAUUGCAUUCGAGACUGAAUAGCUAGGGUACGGUAGAGGGAAGCGGAAUUUCCGGUGUAGCGGUGAAAUGCGUAGAUAUCGGAAGGAACAUCAGUGGCGAAAGCGGCUUCCUGGACCAGUACCGACGUUCAGGCACGAAAGCGUGGGGAGCAAACAGG
rnacentral:rRNA from 1 species